rnacentral:rRNA from 1 species
UUUGAUUCUAGCUCCAGAUUGAACGCUGGCGGGAUGUGCUUUACACAUACAAGUCGAACGGCAGCACGGACUUCGGUCGGUCUGGUGGCAGAUGGCGAACAGGUGAGUAAUGUAUCGGAACGUGCCUAGUAGCGGGGGAUAACUACGCGAAAGCGUAGCUAAUACCACAUACGCCCUUCGGGAAAGCGGGGACCUUCCCGGGCCUCGCGCUAUUGAAGCGGCCGAUAUCGGAUUAGCUAGUUGGUGGGGUAACGGCUCACCAAGGCGUGAUCGUAGCUGGUUUGAGAGAUGACCAGCCACACUGGGACUGGGAGCCACGGCCCAGACUCUACGGAGGCAACAGUAAGGGAAUUUUGGACAAUGGGGAAACCCUGAUCCAGCCAUCCCGCGUGUGCGAUGAAGGCCUUCGGGUUGUAAAGCACUUUUGGCAGGAAAGAAACGGCACGGGAUAAUACCCGUGCAACUGACGGUACCUGCAGAAUAAGCACCGGCCUAACCCACAUUGCCAGCGGCCGCGGUAAUACGUAGGGUGCAAGCGUUAAUCGGAAUUACUGGGCGUAAAGCGUGCGCAGCGGUUCGGAAAGAAGAUGUGAAAUCCCAGAGCUUAACUUUGGAACUGCAUUUUUAACUACCGAGCUAGAGUGUCAGAGGAGGUGGAAUUCCGCGUGUAGCAGUGAAAUGCGUAGAUAUGCGGAGGAACACCGUGGCGAAGGCAGCCUCCUGGGAUAACACUGACGCUCAUGCACGAAAGCGUGGGGAGCAAACGGGAUUAGAUACCCUGGUAGUCCACGCCCUAAACGAUGUCAACUAGCUGUUGGGGCCUUCGGGCCUUGGUAGCGCAACUAACGCGUGAAGUUGACCGCCUGGGGAAGUACGGUCGCAAGAUUAAAACUCAAAGGAAUUGACGGGGACCCGCACAAGCGGUGGAUGAUGUGGAUUAAUUCGAUGCAACGCGAAAAACCUUACCUACCCUUGAGCAUGUCUGGAAUCCCGGGAAUUUGGGAGUGCUCGCAAGAGAACCGGAACACAGGUGCUGCAUGGCUGUCGUCAGCUCGUGUCGUGAGAUGUUGGGUUAAGUCCCGCAACGAGAGCGCAACCCUUGUCAUUAGUUGCUACGAAAGGGCACUCUAAUGAGACUGCCGGUGACAAACCGGAGGAAGGUGGGGAUGACGUCAAGUCCUCAUGGCCCAUAUGGUGGGCUUCACACGUCAUACAAUGGUCGAGACAGAGGGUCCAACCCGCGAGGGGGGGAGCCAAUCCCAGAAACCCGAUCGUAGUCCGGAUCGCAGUCUGCAACUCGACUGCGUGAAGUCGGAAUCGCUAUUAAUCAUGAAUCCAUGUCGCGGUGAAUACGUUCCCGGGUCUUGUACACACCGCCCGUCACACCAUGGGAGUGGGUUUACCAGAAGUAGUUAGCCUAACCGUAAAGGGCGAUUACCACAGUAGGAUUCAUGACUGGGGUGAAGUCGUAACAAGGUAAG